AGUGAACGCUGGCGGUAGGCCUAACACAUGCAAGUCGAACGGCAGCACAGUAAGAGCUUGCUCUUACGGGUGGCGAGUGGCGGACGGGUGAGGAAUACAUCGGAAUCUACUUUUUCGUGGGGGAUAACGUAGGGAAACUUACGCUAAUACCGCAUACGACCUACGGGUGAAAGCAGGGGAUCUUCGGACCUUGCGCGAUUGAAUGAGCCGAUGUCGGAUUAGCUAGUUGGCGGGGUAAAGGCCCACCAAGGCGACGAUCCGUAGCUGGUCUGAGAGGAUGAUCGGCCACACUGGAACUGAGGCACGGUCCAGACUCCUACGGGAGGCAGCAGUGGGGAAUAUUGGACAAUGGGCGCAAGCCUGAUCCAGCCAUACCGCGUGGGUGAAGAAGGCCUUCGGGUUGUAAAGCCCUUUUGUUGGGAAAGAAAAGCAGCAGGUUAAUACCCCGCUGUUCUGACGGUACCCAAAGAAUAAGCACCGGCUAACUUCGUG
rnacentral:rRNA from 1 species